rnacentral:misc_RNA from 8 species
CGGACAUCAGGACUGUUUUCUCCAAUUGGCGAAACAAGCUUUAUGUCCACUAACUUAUUUCUUUAAAUCACACACAUUCCGACACAUGUUCCGGGGUGCCUCAACAACACAGAUAACGGCUGAAAAGUGGUUAGUUGUUAGGGGUCGGAUUCAUGGGGGAUGUGGAGGCCUAACC